rnacentral:rRNA from 1 species
AAUAACCCUGGGAAACCGGGGCUAAUACCGCAUAAGCCCGAGAGGGGAAAGUCGAAAGACGCUGGAAGAGGAGUCCGCGGCCGAUUAGCUAGUUGGCAGGGUAAAAGCCUACCAAGGCGAAGAUCGGUAGCCGGCCUGAGAGGGCACACGGCCACACUGGCACUGAAACACGGGCCAGACUCCUACGGGAGGCAGCAGUGGGGAAUCUUGCACAAUGGGGGAAACCCUGAUGCAGCGACGCCGCGUGAGCGAUGAAGCCCUUCGGGGUGUAAAGCUCUUUCGGCAGGGAAGAUGGUGACGGUACCUGCAGAAGCAGCUGCGGCUAACUACGUGCCAGCAGCCGCGGUAAUACGUAGGCAGCAAGCGUUGUUCGGAGUUACUGGGCGUAAAGGGUGUGUAGGCGGUUGUUUAAGUUUGGUGUGAAAUCUCCCGGCUCAACUGGGAGGGUGCGCCGAAUACUGAAUGACUCGAGUGCGGGAGAGGAGAGUGGAAUUCCUGGUGUAGCGGUGAAAUGCGUAGAUAUCAGGAGGAACACCGGUGGUGUAGACGGCUCUCUGGACCGUAACUGACGCUGAGACACGAAAGCGUGGGUAGCAAACAGGAUUAGAUACCCUGGUAGUCCACGCCCUAAACGAUGCAUAUUUGGUGUGGGCCGUUCAGUCGGUCCGUGCCGGAGCUAACGCGUUAAAUAUGCCGCCUGGGGAGUACAGUCGCAAGGCUGACACUCAAAGGAAUUGACGGGGGCCCGCACAAGCGGU